UCAGGACGAACGCUGGCGGCGUGCUUAACACAUGCAAGUCGAACGGGAGUAUUGAAGAAGCUUGCUUUAGAGAUACUUAGUGGCGGACGGGUGAGUAACGCGUGAGGAGCUGUCCUAUGCAGGGGGACAACAGCUGGAAACGGCUGCUAAUACCCCAUAAGCCGAGAGGUAAAAGGAUCAAUCCGGCAGAGGAGGUACUCGCGUCCUAUCAGCUAGUAGGUGAGGUAACGGCUCACCUAGGCGAAGACGGGUAGCCGGCCUGAGAGGGCGAACGGCCACACUGGAACUGAGAUACGGUCCAGACUCCUACGGGAGGCAGCAGUGGGGAAUAUUGGGCAAUGGGGGAAACCCUGACCCAGCGACGCCGCGUGGGUGAAGAAAUCCUUCGGGAUGUAAAGCCCUGUUGUAUGGGAAGAGCGGAAGACGGUACCAUACGAGGAAGCCCCGGCAAACUACGUGCCAGCAGCAGC
rnacentral:rRNA from 1 species